rnacentral:misc_RNA from 1 species
UUUCCGUAGGUGAACCUGCGGAAGGAUCAUUAAUGUAUAACCGAGGCGCGAGCCCUGCCGCUCACCCGAUUGGUUGUGCAAGCAUCAGUGCCCUCACAAACAUCCCCCCCAGCCCCAUCUGAACCACCGUGAGGGUCCCCCUUUGGCGCGCUCGGCGGGGGGCUAACCUUUACACUCUAUCUUUGAAUGCACCGUAGUAUGUAUUCAAUGUUUUUGUGAAAACGAAACUAAUACAACCUUAAACAAUGGUUCUCUCGGCUCUCGCAUCCAUGGAGAACC